AUACGGAGGAUGCAAGCGUUAUCCGGAUUUAUUGGGUUUAAAGGGUGCGUAGGCGGUUUGCUAAGCGGGAGGUGAAAUGCCGGCGCUCAACGUCGGAAGUGCCCCCCGAACUGGUGGACUUGAAUGACUCUGCCGUGGGAGGAAUGUGUAGUGUAGCGGUGAAAUGCUUAGAGAUUACACAGAACACCGAUUGCGAAGGCAUCUCACGAAGGGUUGAUUGACGCUGAGGCACGAAAGCGUGGGGAUCAAACAGGAUUAGAUACCCUGGUAGUCCACGCAGUAAACGAUGAUGGCUAACCGCUGGGCUUAUCAGUUCAGUGGCCAAGCGAAAGCGAUAAGCCAUCCACCUGGGGAGUACGACCGCAUGGUUGAAACUUAAAGGAAUUGACGGGG
rnacentral:rRNA from 1 species